rnacentral:rRNA from 1 species
AUAGAAUUAUUGCUGCGGUUAAAAAGCUCGUAGUUGGAUCUGUGGCCGGGAGUCGGUCGUGUCUUCGGGCGCGUACUGCUAACCCGGCCUUGUUUGCCGGUUUUCUCCUCGUCGGUCUUCACCGACUGCGGGGGGUGGCUGGCGAUUUUACUUUGAACAAAUCAGAGUGCUUAACACAGGCGUUUCGCUUGAAUGUUCGUGCAUGGAAUAAUAGAAAAGGAUUUCGGUUCUAUUUUAUUGGUUUUAUAGACUGAGAUAAUGGUUAACAGAGACAAACGGGGGCAUUCGUAUUGCUGCGUGAGAGGUGAAAUUCUUGGACCGCAGCAAGACGAACUACAG